rnacentral:rRNA from 1 species
AUUGAACGCUGGCGGCAGGCCUAACACAUGCAAGUCGGACGGUAGCACAGAGAGCUUGCUCUCGGGUGACGAGUGGCGGACGGGUGAGUAAUGUCUGGGGAUCUGCCCGAUAGAGGGGGAUAACCACUGGAAACGGUGGCUAAUACCGCAUAACGUCGCAAGACCAAAGAGGGGGACCUUCGGGCCUCUCACUAUCGGAUGAACCCAGAUGGGAUUAGCUAGUAGGCGGGGUAAUGGCCCACCUAGGCGACGAUCCCUAGCUGGUCUGAGAGGAUGACCAGCCACACUGGAAAUGAGACACGGUCCAGACUCAUACGGGAGGCAGCAGUGGGGAAUAUUGCACAAUGGGCGCAAGCCUGAUGCAGCCAUGCCGCGUGUAUGAAGAAGGCCUUCGGGUUGUAAAGUACUUUCAGCGGGGAGGAAGGCGAUGUGGUUAAUAACCGCAUUGAUUGACGUUACCCGCAGAAGAAGCACCGGCUAACUCCGUGCCAGCCGCCGCCGUAA